rnacentral:rRNA from 1 species
GACGAACGCUGGCGGCGUGCUUAACACAUGCAAGUCGAACGGUGAACCUCUUCGGAGGGGAUCAGUGGCGAACGGGUGAGUAACACGUGGGCAACCUGCCCCCGGCUCUGGGAUAACUCCAAGAAAUUGGGGCUAAUACCGGAUGUUCACCGCUUCCCGCAUGGGUGUUGGUGGAAAGGGUUUCCGGCUGGGGAUGGGCCCGCGGCCUAUCAGCUUGUUGGUGGGGUAGUGGCCUACCAAGGCGACGACGGGUAGCCGGCCUGAGAGGGUGACCGGCCACACGGGGACUGAGACACGGCCCAGACUCCUACGGGAGGCAGCAGUGGGGAAUAUUGCGCAGUGGGCGGAAGCCUGACGCAGAGACGCCGCGUGGGGGAUGACGGCCUUCGGGUUGUAAACCUCUUUCAGCAGGGACGAAGCGCAAGUGACGGUACCUGCAGAAGAAGCACCGGCCAACUACGUG